CAGCCGCCACGGGAAUACGUAGGUGGCAAGCGUUGUUCGGAAUUAUUGGGCGUAAAGGGCUCGCAGGCGGUUUCUUAAGUCUGAUGUGAAAGCCCCCGGCUCAACCGGGGAGGGUCAUUGGAAACUGGGAAACUUGAGUGCAGAAGAGGAGAGUGGAAUUCCACGUGUAGCGGUGAAAUGCGUAGAGAUGUGGAGGAACACCAGUGGCGAAGGCGACUCUCUGGUCUGUAACUGACGCUGAGGAGCGAAAGCGUGGGGAGCGAACAGGAUUAGAGACCCCAGUAGUCCCUGUCUCUUAUAC
rnacentral:rRNA from 1 species